UACGGGGGAGCAAGCGUUGUUCGGAUUUACUGGGCGUAAAGGGCGCGUAGGCGGUCAGCACAAGUCAGUUGUGAAAUCUCCGAGCUUAACUCGGAAAGGUCAACUGAAACUGUGCGACUAGAGUGCGGAAGGGGCAACUGGAAUUCUUGGUGUAGCGGUGAAAUGCGUAGAUAUCAAGAGGAACACCUGCGGCGAAGGCGGGUUGCUGGGCCGACACUGACGCUGAAGCGCGAAAGCUAGGGAGCGAACGGG
rnacentral:rRNA from 1 species